rnacentral:rRNA from 1 species
UACAGAGGUCUCAAGCGUUAAUCGGAAUUACUGGGCGUAAAGCGUACGCAGGCGGCUGCGCAAGACAGAUGUGAAAUCCCCGGGCCUAACCUGGGAACUGCAUUUGUGACUGCGCAGCUCGAGUCCGUCAGAGGGGGGUGGAAUUCCACGUGUAGCAGUGAAAUGCGUAGAGAUGUGGAGGAACACCGAUGGCGAAGGCAGCCCCCUGGGAUGAGACUGACGCUCAGGUACGAAAGCGUGGGGAGCAAACAGG